CUGUGAUUACGAUCUGCGUGGAAACAUCUGGCAAGGGAGCUAGCUCUAUAUUUCUACAGAUUGAUUUACACUUCAAGUUUGUCACGUUCUUUGAACGUUCUUCUAUCCCCAACUCUAGAGCCAAUCAGAUCAGGAUGCUGUUACGUUUAGGUGGCGGUGGCGGAGCCCCAAGACACAUGAUCUUCUUGAUGCUCUUGAGAUUCGUCCUACACAUUUUCAUCCUCUUGCUCCUGAUCGAUAGAAAUGCAUUCCGAAUUCCUGUCCCGAUAUUUGUACCGAAGGAACAUAAUGAAGAGAAUUAGCCUGAUUGUUAGCUUGUUAUCUAUGAUAAGGAAACAAUAAAAAAUAGAAUUACU
rnacentral:sRNA from 13 species